rfam:Dipodomys ordii contig_29770, whole genome shotgun sequence.
GGUGGCUCAGUGGUAGAGUGCUUGCCUUGUAUGCUGGAGGCCCUGGGUUCGAUUCCUCAGCACCA